AUUGAACGCUGGCGGCAGGCCUAACACAUGCAAGUCGAACGAGUGGCGGACGGGUGAGUUAUGUCUGGGAAACUGCCUGAUGGAGGGGGAUAACUACUGGAAACGGUCGCUAAUACCGCAUCCCAUCGGAUGUGCCCAGAUGGGAUUAGCUCGUGGGUGGGGGAACGGCUCACCUAGGCGACGAUCCCGAGCUGGUCUGAGAGGAUGACCAGCCACACUGGAACUGAGACACGGUCCAGACUCCUACGGGAGGCAGCAGUGGGGAAUAUUGCGCAAUGGGCGCAAGCCUGAUGCAGCCAUGCCGCGUGUAUGAAGAAGGCCUUCGGGUUGUAAAGUACUUUCAGCGGGGAGGCGUUACCCGCAGAAGAAGCACCGGCUAACUCCGUGCCAGCCGCCGCGGUAAUAC
rnacentral:rRNA from 1 species